CCCCUGAGAGCCUGUGUCAAGUGCUGUCAAUGGAUUUCCCUUUUGAGGUAACACAAGCAUUGUCUUUAUUGCUCUGAUGGGAUUGCAGGACACAGGGAGCUUGGUUACCCAAUGUCUUAGGAUAUCCUCUGACUUUGCUGUGUCAAAGCAUCAGAAAAGGGCUGAAAGCUGAUUCCUGGAAAAAGAUGUGCCGCUGUCCUUCAGAGCCUCAGCUCUGCUCUGUUAGAGACAUCAGAAUGCCAAAGCUGCUCAUCUGUGUCCCUCAUUUUACAGGUGAAGAGGUGGGGGCCCAAGGAGGGACAAGGCUUUCAUUCCUAGGUCCUUCUGGGGUGCCUGUUUUCGGCCACAAGCCUGGCUGCCAUAGCUGACUGUAAAGUUGGGAGCUCCUGUGACGGACAGACCACAGGGGUUCAAACUCCUUAUCCUUCCUUCCUCCCAAGAGCAAAUGAUGGCUGGGGAUGGCAGUGCUUUCUGAACAGUGGUGUGGAGGCAGGGCGACCAACUUGUCCUGGUUUGUCCAGAACUUUCUCGAUUUAGCACCAAAAGUCUCAUGUCUCUAGAAGCUCCUCAGUUCUCAGCAACCUUUUAUCAUCCUCAGAAUCUACAGUUAUCCUCUCCAGCCUCAACACACAGACUUUCCUUUGCCCAUCGUACCCUUUAAAAUUCUGCCUAGUCACGCAGAAGUAUUUGCUUGAGCUUGAUAUAAUUUUGUUAAAAGGAUCACAGCUUCCCAAAUGAGGAAAUGGCAAAGGCUGAGUUGCCUUCAUUUCUGAGAGUCAAUUAAGAAGGUGGUAAGAACACCAUCUUUAUUUAUAACCCUAUGCCCCAGUGACAAUAAAUGCUUUUUAGAGAUGAGUCACUGAAUCACGGAAAAGAAAAUGUGGGACUGUAGGAGGUCUUCCCGUUGAGAAAAACUGAGUUUCCCAGAACAUAGCUUGCAGAUAAUUUAGGGGGAGGUCAGGCAGCCAACAAUGGUGUGGGGAACAGGGCUUCUUGACAGCCUGUUUUCCCUGUGUUCAGCAGUCCAGCAUCUUGGAGGGGCCUGUCCAGUUCUCCUGGUUUGUGCCCUGUGUGGAGAACAUUCCCCAUUACAGAGACAUCUGAGUACUGAAAAGUACAUGGGAUCUGGGGACAGAAGACCUGGGUUCACGUUGAAUUUGUGCUUCAUACUGCCUGGGUUUUGGGGGAGGCCCCCAGAGCUAGCCCUAGUGCCAUCUUAAACACCCUCAAUGGUGGGUAAGAGGGUGAAGUAGUGGGUAGGCAAGCACCCGGUAAACAGGAAAGUGCUGUUUAUGUUUUUAUUUUCUAAAAUUUAUAUUUCUGGGUCAUUUCUUCAUUUAGAGAAAUUGCAUGUGUGAGAAACAAGGAUUAUUUUUCCACUGGCAGUGAUCCAGGAAAGGCAGUUGGCCCAUUAGAGCGGCCCCCAUAUGCAUAGGCUCUCCUCGAAAUACAUGGCCCCAGAAGUCACUUUGGUCUCUGAUUUCCCCUUUUCUAGGUAGAUGGACUUCUCUUCUACCACAAGCAGACCCACUACAGCCCUGGAAGCACUCCUCUUGUGGGCUGGCUGCGCCCCUACAUGGUGUCAGAUGUUCUUGGAGUAGCCGUGCCAGCUGGCCCACUGACCACCAAGCCAGAAUAUGCUGGGCAGCAGCUCCAGCAGAUUAUUGAGCACAAGAGGAGCCAGGAAGGCAUGAAGGAGAAAGUCACACACAAGGCAUCUGAGAGUGGACACUAUGAGUUGGAACACCUGUCUACCCCCAAGCUGAAGAGCCCUCCCCAUGGCCUUGACCCCCCAGGGAGCCUCAUGGAAAACUAAACAGGGUGGCUCCUUGGGGAGUCACAGGAUGGGGCUUGGUCCCAGAAGGAAGGCUGGGGAGGAGGACAAUGACAACAAACAGGUGACUUCAUUUUAGAGUGGACUUUCCAAAGCCACUCCAGCUGGAAACAGCUUAUCUCCUAUCUGAAAUGCUGGCUCAGACAGUUGAGGGCGGUUUCCAGAUUGGAUGGAUUUGGGAUUUGAGAAGUAACUCCUGUGAAAAGUGUAUCCCAGAUAUCUACAAUGUAAAUAUAUGUAAUUCUUAAGAAAGAAGGUGUUUGUGAUUCUUAAAACUUUAGAUGGCCAUGACCCUCCCCUACCUCCCCCUCCCCCCGCCCCAACCCGGGCUACCUAAACCAUGACUGUUCAAGUCUUGGCCCAUUGAACUGUUUUUAGCACUUAAGCAUUCUGCUGAGUUUCCAGUUGCUGCUGUUAGUAACGUCAUUUUCUAAAAGGUCUUACCAGGAACUGCAGUUCUUGGUAUUUGAAUAUGUUCCCUCUUCUGAGAAGUGUGAGUUUCUUUGGUUUAGACACUGCCAGAGAUAAAAUGCAAAUGGAGUUCAUUCACAACUUCAACAAACAUUUGCGCCUUCCAGAAGAUAAGCCUUGUGCUAGGCCCCCGUGAUGUAGAGAAUUAUAGGGACAGGACUUGGUGUCUGCCCUUGAGGAGUUUGCAGUCCAGUGAGGAAAGACACCCACCAGCAGGACGCUGAGACCAUUGCUUUAGGGCUGAAAGAUGCAUAGAGCUUGGGGCGGGAAAGCAGAGGAGGUUCCAUAGAGGAAGUUGGAGCAGAACUGAGGUUCUGAGCAGGACAGAAGGGGCUCUGCAGACAGGAGAGCGGGACUUUCUCACACAGGCAGCAGGGUAUGCAGUUGCACCCUCCAGAGCAGGGCAGGACUCCCUCUGGGACCUGAAGCAGGUUCAGCACGGCUCAAGUUUAAACGAGGGUUGGGGAGCUGCCCAGGAGGAGGCUGAAGAGAGAGAUGGGCUUGUGUGUUCUGCAGAGGUUUUAGAUUUGAUGUCAUGGAAGAGCUCUGAGCCGGCCAGAUCCAUUCAGAUUUGUCAAGUAGGCUCUUUGGCAGCUGUGGCAGUGGAAGAUAGUAUCUGAAACUAACCAAUUCGUUUCUGCUGUGUGUUCAGGAAAUGUGUCCCGUUUCCUGUGGCCUCGAUCUGCUUCUCACAGUGCUUUCCACCUUUCUAGGACUUCUUUUAUUGGACAAAAAGACUUCACUAUUCUAGUCCAGCAGUACUAGUGUCCUGUGGACAAAAUUUCGGAGGGAUGCAGG
rnacentral:lncRNA from 1 species